rnacentral:rRNA from 1 species
AGCAGCCGCGGUAAUUCCAGCUCCAAUAGCGUAUAUUAAAGUUGUUGCAGUUAAAAAGCUCGUAGUUGAAUUUCGGGGUUAGUAGGUUGGUCAUGCCUCUGGUAUGUACUGGUCUCACUGAUUCCUCCUUCCUGAUGAGCCGUAAUGCCAUUAAUUUGGUGUUGCGGGGAAUUUGGACUGUUACUUUGAAAAAAUUGAGUGUUUAAAGCAAGCUAACGCUUGAAUACAUUAGCAUGGAAUAAUGAAAUAGGACGUUCGAUCCUAUUUUGUGGUUUCUAGGAUUGACGUAAUGAUUAAUAGGGAUAGUUGGGGCAUUAGUAUUCAAUUGUCAGAGGUGAAAUUCUUGGAUUUAUUGAAGACUAACUACUGCGAAAGCAUUUGCCAAGGNUGUUUUCAUUAAUCAAGAACGAAGUUAGGGAUCGAAGACGAUCAGNUACCGUCGUAGUCUAACCAUAAACUNUAGCCACUAGAUCGAGACGAUUAGUUAAUUUUUUAAUGUACUUCGUUUGGUACACCGUUU